UGGCGGACGGGUGAGUAACGCGUGGGUAACCUGCCUUGCACUGGGGGAUAACACUUAGAAAUAGGUGCUAAUACCGCAUAAGCGCACGGUCCUGCAUGGGACAGUGUGAAAAACUCCGGUGGUGCAAGAUGGACCCGCGUCUGAUUAGCUGGUUGGCGGGGUAAAGGCCCACCAAGGCGACGAUCAGUAGCCGGACUGAGAGGUUGGCCGGCCACAUUGGGACUGAGAUACGGCCCAGACUCCUACGGAAGGCAGCAG
rnacentral:rRNA from 1 species